rnacentral:piRNA from 1 species
AAGGAGAGUGUUGUCAUCCAGCU